AUGGUGGUUCCGUCACCCCAAACGGCGAUGGGCGUCCAGGAUCGAUGAUCAUAGAUCGCUCCGACGCCCAGUCGCUCACGGCUCACCCGGUGGAUGGCGGCGCCCACCAGCAGCCUGCCUGCUAGCCGGUUCUUCUCCCUCCCUUCUCUCGGGAAUGGGUGUCAUGUUAGAGGAACUGUCAAUUUGGAACAAUUCAUCUCCACAUACUCUGUAUGUAUUGCAGGAAAAAUUUGUAAGUUUUUUGUGUUGCAGAGCUCUGCUGUCAUGUAUUGCUCAUCUACUCUGGUCCACAUACCACAAUUUUGAACUGUUGCUGGCAAUUCAUGCAUGUGCUUUAUUUUCUGGUGAGGUUAGUUCUAAUGUUCAUGUAUAUAUGCCCUUCAUCACAACCAUAUUUGUACUUUUGUAGUAUACAUUUUAUUUUACCUUUCGAAUGUCACUAAUCCGUAGCCUUGUGUGCUGGCUACUGUCUGAAUGCUGAUACCCAUAUCAGAAUUAGGAUGUGUUGGAAGACAACAGUGGUCAUAUAGCGAAGUGGAUAUCGCGUUAGAUUCCGAAUCUAAAAGUCGUGGGUUCGAAUCCCACUAUGAUCAUUGUCUUCAGGCUUUUUUUCAUGUUUCUUGUAUCUAUAUUUCUUUUUUCUUCAGACAGGGACAUUUUGGCGGCCACCACCAGAAAGUGUACAUGCUCUCUUGUGAACUGGUCCCAUAAGCCUGCUGUCUUUUGUGAGAAUUGUCACCUCAUAUGCACCGUGUCAUCUGCAUCCACUUGUAUAUGUAAAUACAUAAUUGCAUGAUAUUAUUCCAUAGCUUAUUCACUUGAUUUAUGUAACCUGCUGCCUGCUUGUAACUGGUGCCUUAUGGUUUUACUUUUUGUGAACUAUGGAAGAUGGGAGCUUUCCAUAAUUGGUAACUGGUUCACGUCUUCCUGAUGGCCCCAACGUUAUCUGAAACUUGUGGCUGGGUGUUGCUGUUCGUUCCUCAUCUGUUGGUACUUGGUACAGCAUUGCAACUGUGCAUUGCUCAUCUCAUUGUAAAAUCAAAUUCAGCACAGUUCAAUGCAAUUUAUACAUGAUAUUUACACAGGCCAGGUAUGAUUCAUAAUGUGAUGUCAGUUUCUUUACCAA